rnacentral:rRNA from 1 species
UACGUAGGGGGCGAGCGUUGUCCGGAGUUACUGGGCGUAAAGCGCGCGCAGGCGGUCUGUUCAGUCUGGAGUGACAGUUCCCGGCUCACCUGGGAAAGGUCUUCGGAUACUGGCAGACUUGAGGGACUCAGAGGGAGACGGAAUUCCAGGUGGAGCGGUGAAAUGCGUAGAGAUCUGGAGGAACACCGAUGGCGAAGGCAGCCUCCUGGGCCAACACUGACGCUCAUGCACGAAAGCGUGGGGAGCAAACAGG